rnacentral:rRNA from 1 species
UACAGAGGUGGCAAGCGUUGUUCGGAAUUACUGGGCGUAAAGGGCGCGUAGGCGGCCAUCUAAGUCAGACGUGAAAUCCCCCGGCUUAACCUGGGAACUGCGUCUGAUACUGGACGGCUAGAGUAUGGGAGAGGGAUGUAGAAUUCCAGGUGUAGCGGUGAAAUGCGUAGAUAUCAAGAGGAACACCUGAAGUGAAGACGGGUUGCUGGGCCAACACUGACGCUGAGGCGCGAAAGCCAGGGGAGCAAACGGG